AUGGAGGAUUCGCCGGGCCGGGCCGGUCGCGCGCAGGCUCGCGCGCUGGGAGAUGGAGGAUUCGCCGGGCCGGGCCGGGCCGGUCGCGCGCAGGCUCGCGCGCUGGGAGAUGGAGGAUUCGCCGGGCCCGGCCCCGGGCGCGCGCGCUCGACAGCAGGCGCGCGCGGAGGCGGCUGGAGGGGCCUCACCCUGCAGCUCGGCUGGGCUGGGCCAGCCCCGCCUCUGCCUGCUGCGGGAGGGGCGGUGUCCGGGCAGCACCGGGGUGGGGUGAUGCUGUGCCGCCCCCCCCCCGGGGAUUCCGUUCCGCCUGCGGUGCACAGGUCUCUGGGCAUGGCGUGCACAGGGUUGUGCAAAGGAUAAAGCUUCCCUCAAUAUCUCUGAAGCACAGCUGAAAUCCGCCUGCAGAGAACAUCGGGUGGAAGAUGCCUGGAGCACAGAAAUGCAUUAUAUAAAUACCGAUGUUACAGCUUAUCCUUCUUAAAGAACCAGCCAGAACUCUGCUUGUCAAACUUCACUUCAGGAAUUUAAUAAUUUUCAGCAAGUGGUUUUGAAACUAAGGUACUUUCUGACGAGGUGACCAGAUCACAUUUAAUCUUGUAAGGGUUUGUAUUGUUUUUAUUAAAGGAAUACUUAAAGUAUAUUAUUUGAGUUGGUUGAUGCAUUAAAAAACAAGAACACAGCCUCUUUUAGAAGUUUCACAAUAAGAGGGUGAGCAGACCAAAUUGGUAUCAUGAGUUAAAAAAUGAACUGCAAAAGGAAAAGAACAUUCGGUUUGUGCCCCUUUUUAAUUUGUUAGGAUGUAAAAAUAAGGUCUAGAACAUUUUGUUUUACUAUGUUUAUUACCUUGGAAAUACCAAGUCUUAUUAUGAUUUAUUUUUUGUUAUUAAAGUAACCCCAAAUGCGAUCAGGACCCCCCUGCAAUCAGCACUGUACAUACACAGUGAGAGACAGUCCUUACCCCAAAGGGCUAAAGAUUUAAACAGAUGAAUUACAGAGUAUCACUAUUAUUAUUUUUCCAGAUUUUGAUUGAGGGCCACAGCAGUGAAAUGGGAGCUCUCUCUGUCCUUGUUGUAAGGCCUUGUCUACCCAAGACAGUUUUACCAGCUAUACUGAUAUAGUUAUACAGGUAUAAUCACAUAUGCAGACAUGGUUAUUUCAGUAUAUGAGUGUCCAGAAGGGGGUUAUACCUGUGUCACAGGUCGCUCUACUCACCACUGGGACAAUGCUGCCUCCUGACGGUUCUGGGGAUUAGUUGGGUCAGGCCUACGUCCCUUGCGGCAGUUACAUCCCGACAGUUUCUCCUCUGCAGCCCCUCUCUCACUCUCAGGAGCUGCAGCUGUCCUCUUCACACACAGCCUUCUCUCUAUGCUGUUUAGUGUUUCCUCCCUUCUGGGGUUCAGUCCUUCAAUUCUCUGACUCCCUUAGUAACCCAGGAGGUCUUCCUGUUCACUGCUUCAUCUGUUUAUGCCAUGCCCUCGUGCUGGUAAGGGAAUAUGGGCCCGCCGUCUACUCCAGGUUCCAAUCCAGGGACCCUCAACCCAGCAGUACUGGUCCUCACUGCUCCUUCCCUGGACUGCUUCCUACUCGUCUGGUUCCUCCCCUUUCUCUGGGUAUACCAGAGAACUCCCUCUUCCCAGAGAGUAACUGCAACCUUUCUUAGCAGCCUCUUCUAUUGUAAACGUCCUAGUUUAUAUAGGCCCCCUCUGCUCCUGCAGAGGUGAGCUUCCCUCUAAUUAGCUGCCUCCUAAGGCUCCCUUGUUUGCAGCCUAAUUAGCUGAUUGGGCCCACCUGGCCCAAUUCAGCUCUUGCAGGGCCAGUGUGGGGAGCACACCCCAUCACAACCUGUAUUACUAUCAGUUUAACUUCACAACUUAGUUUAUACUGAAAAAAUGUCCCUAGGUGGACAAGACCUAGAACAGGUGCAGGUGACUGAAUCUUUAACAAUGUUUGUCCGGUGUUUGAGUUAAAUAGGUGUUACUUAAAAAACAAACAAACAAAGCAAACCUACCAAAAAAACCCCCAAACUCGAAGUUUUGAACAGUCUGGCUAAAAAUCCUCUCUCUUCUCAGUUAUUCAGAUUUCACUUCUGUGCCCACUGUGAUAUCAUAAUGCUACUAGUUCAGUCAGCCCGUCGCACUGUGUUCCAGGAAAAACAAGACCUCUAUUCCAAGUGUAAAACAAGCAGACUAAAAAACUUCCAUGAAAAACAAAACAAAACCCCAAACCUAGACAAUAUCAACUUCUUCCCCGCCAUCAUAAAGAAUUAAAAAAAAAAAAAAAAAAAAAAA